AGUGAACGCUGGCGGUAGGCCUAACACAUGCAAGUCGAACGGCAGCACAGUAAGAGCUUGCUCUUACGGGUGGCGAGUGGCGGACGGGUGAGGAAUACAUCGGAAUCUACUUUUUCGUGGGGGAUAACGUAGGGAAACUUACGCUAAUACCGCAUACGACCUACGGGUGAAAGCAGGGGAUCUUCGGACCUUGCGCGACUGAAUGAGCCGAUGUCGGAUUAGCUAGUUGGCGGGGUAAAGGCCCACCAAGGCGACGAUCCGUAGCUGGUCUGAGAGGAUGAUCAGCCACACUGGAGCUGAGACACGGUCCAGACUCCUACGGGAGGCAGCAGUGGGGAAUAUUGGACAAUGGGCGCAAGCCUGAUCCAGCCAUACCGCGUGGGUGAAGAAGGCCUUCGGGUUGUAAAGCCCUUUUGUUGGGAAAGAAAAGCAGCAGGUUAAUACCCCGCUGUUCUGACGGGACCCAAAGAAUAAGCACCGGCUAACUUCGU
rnacentral:rRNA from 1 species